GAUGAACGCUGGCGGCGUGCCUAAUACAUGCAAGUCGAGCGAACAGACGAGGAGCUUGCUCCUCUGACGUUAGCGGCGGACGGGUGAGUAACACGUGGAUAACCUACCUAUAAGACUGGGAUAACUUCGGGAAACCGGAGCUAAUACCGGAUAAUAUAUUGAACCGCAUGGUUCAAUAGUGAAAGACGGUUUUGCUGUCACUUAUAGAUGUAUCCGCGCCGCAUUAGCUAGUUGGUAAGGUAACGGCUUACCAAGGCAACGAUGCAUAGCCGACCUGAGAGGGUGAGCGGCCACACUGGAACUGAGACACGGUCCAGACUCCUACGGGAGGCAGCAGUAGGGAAUCUUCCGCAAUGGGCGAAAGCCUGACGGAGCAACGCCGCGUGAGUGAUGAAGGUCUUCGGAUCGUAAAACUCUGUUAUUAGGGAAGAAAAAAUGUGUAAGUAACUAUGCACGUCUUGACGGUACCUAAUCAGAAAGCCACGGCUAACUACGUG
rnacentral:rRNA from 1 species